CCCUUAGAUGUCCGGGGCCGCACGCGCGCUACACUGAAGGAAUCAGCGUGGCUUUCUCCCUGACCCGAAAGGGUUGGGAAACCCGUUGAAUCUCCUUCGUGAUAGGGAUUGGGGAUUGAAAUUGUUCCCCAUGAACGAGGAAUUCCCAGUAAGCGCGAGUCAUAAGCUCGCGUUGAUUACGUCCCUGCCCUUUGUACACACCGCCCGUCGCUACUACCGAUUGAACGGUUUAGUGAGGGCCUCGGAUUGGUCUCGGCCCGCUCUUUACCGGGCGGCGCCGUUGGUCGAGAAGACGCUCGAACUUGAUCGUUUAGAGGAAGUAAAAGUCGUAACA
rnacentral:rRNA from 1 species